CUUCUUAGGAUGAUGGACAUUGGUGGACUCCAGUUCCCAUCAGUCCCAGCUAGCCUCGCCAGUGGUCAGAGAUGAUUAUCCAGCAUCUGGAGGUCACCACAUUGGCCAACCAGUGCUUUAGCAUACAUUGCCAACUCUGUGCACAGAAGAUCAGAAGGCUUAUGUUCAAUGUCACAGUGUCAAUUCCUGCUACCCAAUCUGCAUUGUCCUUGCUUUUGGGUCUUUCCCCCCUAAAAGAAAAGAGGCAUGCAGGGAGACCAGACCAUCUUUUUGAAUAAUGACCAAGCACUGCUUGGCAAUUGAAGUAAAGCUCUCUCUCUCUUAAUCACAUGGAUUUCCUGCGAUGAAACCAGUGAGAUGGAGAUAAGGGAGGAGAUGUGUGGGGCUAAGGAGCUUGAUGCAGGCAGUAACCAGCAGGCUUUAAAAGAAGCCCAAGGGAAGGAAACCCAUUAGCAUGGGAAGAGAGGAAGAGAGCCCAGCAAACCACCAGAGAUGCAGGCCGCCCUGUUUGCGUUUUGGCAGGAGGAGCUGAAUGGAAGCUGUUCCGAGUUAAUGUUCUCAACAGCAAGACGCAGCCGAGGUCAUGUUACAGUUGAGUCAAUCACUGGGUGUAAAGAGCAGCUUUUGCUUUUUCCUCUGCCUCUUCUCCCGCCUGCCUCCUCCCCCCCCCCCCCCGGCUUCUUCUUCUUCUUCUUCUGUGCUAGACCUUUGGCAGACUUCUGUUUUGCUCAGUGCCCAAACUUGGGAGGCAGACUCCAGAGAUGUGAUAGGAUUACUAACCAUUUUAAAAGGGACUUGGGAGAUGCAAGAUCUUCGUGUGCCGGUAAUAUUGCAAGACCUUGGUGAGUAGCCACUAAGAUUGGCCUGGGAGCUAUCAAACUAUCUAUCUAAACAGUGGUAUUUUUUGGUCAUCAGCAUCCUACGUCCUAACUCUUAAGCAAUGCUGAACAAUGUGCCACCAUGAGAGUGACAUGCGCAUUUGUCUUGUGUGCAUCUGCAUAAUCUUUUAUCGAACUGGACAUCUUGGAGGGUGGUGUACAAAUUUAGUUGAUGAGGAGGAUGAGGAUGAUAAUAAUUUAAAUAUGUAUAAGACAGUGAGGAGCAUGGAUGUGACUCUUAACCUUUGUUAAGCUAUAUCCCAGCCAUGCAAACACCAGCGGUUUCACACAUCCAGGCGAAGCAAGAGGCAUUGCUGGACCCUUCUAGGACGCAUUCCAGCUUGUAAAAGGGACCCAAGGAGGGAAGUGAGUGUGUUUGGUGCCAGGGGACGUGGCCUGGAAAAACGUAGUUGUCGCGUUGGGAGAGCUCAGGGGGUUCAAACUCGGAAGAUCCGGGCAGGGGGCUGCAUUUGGCCCCUCUGGGUUUGACGCUCCCCAUGGCCGAAAAAAUGCAAGCCAACAAACUGGGAGGCUGUGAGAUUGCUCUGCAGGCAAGGAUUGCGCUCUUAAUAGCUGUGUCACAGCAGCUUGAUCAAUGUCUGCACUUAGCUGUUUUCUUCCAGUCUUCCGAUCACAUGGACCCUGCAACACUGAUGGCAGCCUGACUGUUGGGUGGGGCUAAUUGCCAGGGGGAAGGGCGUAAACUGCUGGCUAGGGGGGAGAGGGGAAUGUGGCUUGCUUCAGCAGGACUACGUGCCCGAUUUUUAUUUUUAAUUGAAUGGGGGAUUCUCCUAUCUGGGAGAGGUUUGGGGAAAGAAUUCAUCAGCCAGCAUCGAUAAGAAAAGCGCAGACCAAAAGCUUACCUUCAGCCCAAGAGCCACAGUUGCUUUUGGGCAACCUAAUGCGGGGGGCACACAACAGUGGGUGCAGAUUUUACCUUUGCACAGGAGGCUAGUUUGUGCUCUCACGCAGACCCUUCUCUGUCAUUCAUGUAAGUGAGCAAGAGGCAUUGUCACAGCUUCAAGACACAUUCCUGCCAGGCAAAAACACUCAAGGGGUGUGUGUGUGUCAGUGCAGGGUCUGGUCCAGGAAGGAGGGCUUGGUCUGAGGAGAUUCCGAAGGACCAGAUAAGGUGUUUUGAAGAGCUGCUUUUGGGCCCUGAGCCCAAGGUGUCCUACACCAUCUCCCCAGCUUUUAUCCGAUCUAGGAUCUUGUUUACGGUCAACCAGAUAACGAGAAGCCAACAAGCAAGGCAUGAGUACAAUAGCUCAGUUGGUUGGAGCGUGGUGCUGAUAACACCAAGGCUGCAGGGUCGAUCUUCAUAUGGGAGAGUAGCAUAGUCCUGCAUUGCAAGGGGUUAGAUUUGAUGGUCCUCAAGGUUCCUUCCAACUGUACAGAUCUAUGAUUUUAUGAAUAGCCUCCCGUUGCUGUUGUGAUUGGCAUUCACAGGCAUUUAGUCUCUGAUCCUGGAAGUAGCACAUGGGGAUAACAGCUUAUUAGUCCCAUGCUCUGUAAAUUGUCAAAUCCUUCUUUAAAGCCAUCCAAACUGGUGCCCAGUGUCACAUCUUGGGGCAGCAAAUUCCACAGUUUAUUAAUAUUGCCUGUUGAUUUAGACAGGAAGGUAGUUGGGGAUGGUGAGUUCCAAUGGGUUGUCAUAUAAUAGGGGUUGAGGAACCUGUUACUGAACUACAACUCCCACCAUCCCUUGCACUUGGCCACAGGCUCCUCACUCCUGAUCUGGAAGGCAAAGUUUGGAAUGUGUGGGAGGGAAUGGCUAGACAUCAUACGCAGGUUGUCAUAAGUCUGUGGGAGCCAUUUUUCAAAAGCCACCCUCCAGCAGCAGCUAUUUCCUGCCUCCAUAAAAUGGAUGUUGAAGUGUAACUUUUCGCAUGUUUUUAUGAUAGUGUAUAUUAACAUACCUUAAUAUAGUAAUGCCAAUAAUGGUCAAAAUAAGCAGAAGUUAACAAGGAGCUGGGGUUGUGCAGCCCAAAAUAAUAUUUGAGAAACCACAGAAAAUAUAGCCACAACCCCAGUUGACUGUCCCCUAAAAGACAGCGUUUAAUUGCAUCUGGCCCAAUGCUUUAUUUGGGCACCGGGCACGGUGUAUGAUGGCUCCUCCGUGCCAGUACACACACAGCACCAAAGGCCAAGUUUUAAACUCAACAGACGAACUCUGUGUGUGUGUUUCUGCAUGUGCUGAUCUGGCCCUACGUCUGUUCUGAGUGCCAGUUCUCUCUCUGUCAACCUAGACUACAAAAACACACUCUGUUCCCAUAGGAGAUUUUGUAAGUGCAAACUGUGGAACAGGGGCAGACAAUGUGUUUGGCACUAACUGCCAUGUGGGAAAUCAAUCAUGAGCUCAAGGACAGCAGUUAAUUGCACCUGUAAUUCAUGUCACUGUAAUUUGCAUUUCAUUCCCUUUAACCUAGGGAAUGCCAAACUAAGGUGGAUGAAGUUCUGCACUCUAUGCUUUGAAAUAGUUGCCCCUUUUAUGAAUAGAACAUUUUAAAAAUAAAAUCGUCAGUGUCCUUGGAGAUGGUCGGAGUUGGUGGUGGAGGGUGGAAUAUUUUGGGUUAUUGUUUGCACUCGAGUGGGGGUGGGAGGGGUCCUUUAGACUUUUCCGUUCAUUGUUUACUUGCAGUUUUCUGACCUCGUCCCAUAUGUGACAAUGCAUUUAGGUUUAAUAACAUGAACACACAAUUCCCUGAAAUAUUAUAUACAGUGGAUGCUCAGGUUGCGAACGUGAUCCGUGUGGGAUACACAUUCGCAACCUGUGCAUGCGCGGGUUGGAAUUCGGCACUUCUGCGCAUGCGAGACCGCCGAAACCUGGAAGUAACCCGUUCUGGUACUUCUGGGUUUCCGCGGUCCGCAACCCAAAAAAACGCAACCUGAAGCGGCUGUAACGCGAGGUAUGACUGUACAUUGGUAUGUUAAUGUAUCUCAGUUAGCGUAGAUGCAGCCAUUAAAUGUCGUUGCAGACAAGAAAGUCUUUAACUGCACUCUCACAAAAUGUUUUGUUAUCAGAAAUUGUUAAUACAUGUUUAAUUUGGUGUUUACAAUAAAAAAUAUUGGUGCCAUACUUUAGUUUUCAAAACCAAAGCCAAACUUCAAAACCAAAGACGUAAACCAAAGCCAAACUUC
rnacentral:lncRNA from 1 species